rnacentral:rRNA from 1 species
CCUACGGGAGGCAGCAGUGGGGAAUUUUGGACAAUGGGGGCAACCCUGAUCCAGCAACGCCGCGUGAAUGAAGAAGGCCUUAGGGUUGUAAAGUUCUUUUAUCUGGGAGCAAAGAUGUGAUGUUAACAGCAUGGCAUUAUGAGAGUACCAGAGGAAUAAGCACCGGCUAACUACGUGCCAGCAGCCGCGGUAAUACGUAGGGUGCGAGCGUUAAUCGGAAUUACUGGGCGUAAAGGGUGCGCAGGCGGAUAUAUAAGUUAGAUGUGAAAUGCACGAGCUUAACUUGGGAAUGGCAUUUAAGACUGUAUAUCUAGAGUUAAUCAGAGGGGGGUAGAAUUCCAAGUGUAGCAGUGAAAUGCGUAGAGAUUUGGAGGAAUACCGGUGGCGAAGGCGGCCCCCUGGGAAAUAACUGACGCUCAUGCACGAAAGCGUGGGUAGCAAACAGGAUUAGAUACCCUGGUAGUCCACGCCCUAAACGAUGUCUACUUGCUGUUGGGAAGAGAUUCUUAGUAGCGAAGCAAACGUGAGAAGUAGACCGCCUGGGGAGUACGGUCGCAAGAUUAAAACUCAAAUGAAUUGACGGGG